UGAGCAAUCUGCCCUUCUCUUUGGAAUAAGCGUUGGAAACGACGUCUAAUGCCGAAUACGACCUCCUUUCGCAUGAUCGGAGGUGGAAAGCUCCGGCGGAGAAGGAUGAGCUCGCGGCCUAUCAGCUAGUUGGUGUGUGUAACGGCCCACCAAGACGACGACGGGUAGCCGGCCUGAGAGGGCGACCGGCCACACGUGGGACUGAGAUACGGCCCAGACCUCCGUACGGGAG
rnacentral:rRNA from 1 species